CAUACGGGUGGCAGCAGUGGGGAAUAUUGGACAAUGGGCGAAAGCCUGAUCCAGCCAUGCCGCGUGUGUGAAGAAGGCCUUCGGGUUGUAAAGCACUUUCAGUGGGGAAGAAAGCCUUGGGGCUAAUACCCUCGAGGAAGGACAUCACCCACAGAAGAAGCACCGGCUAACUCCGUGCCAGCAGCCGCGGUAAUACGGAGGGUGCGAGCGUUAAUCGGAAUUACUGGGCGUAAAGCGCGCGUAGGCGGUCUGAUAAGCCGGUUGUGAAAGCCCCGGGCUCAACCUGGGAACGGCAUCCGGAACUGUCAGGCUAGAGUGCAGGAGAGGAAGGUAGAAUUCCCGGUGUAGCGGUGAAAUGCGUAGAGAUCGGGAGGAAUACCAGUGGCGAAGGCGGCCUUCUGGACUGACACUGACGCUGAGGUGCGAAAGCGUGGGUAGCAAACAGGAUUAGAUACCCCAGUAGUC
rnacentral:rRNA from 1 species